GGCCGGCACCAGACACCCCGCCCCGCCAGGCGUCCGUCUCAAGGCGCCGGGCAAAGCCCGGAAACGCGGGCGCCGGGCCUGGCAGGGUCCACGUGGAGCAGGACAGGCGCCAGAGCACAAAAGCUGCCCUUCGGUCCUUGCUGAACCCGCUUCUGGCGGUCUUGUUCACACCUCUAGGGAGGACCUGCUGCGCGCCCAACACUGAGCCUGAUGCUGAGACGAGCUUCUGGGCCCGCUCUCUGGGGCCCGGAAUAUACACUAUCUGGCCCGCGUGCGUACGCAGAGAAAAAUAUGACGCAGACAGUUUGGAACAGAACAAAGAAAAGUGAAUACCGUCCACGGUCUCUUCCCUCGGAGAGAAUCACUGUUCAUAGUUUAAGGGACAGCCGGCUGGCUCAGUUGGUGGAGAAUGGGACUCUCAAUCUCAAGGGGUAAUGACUUCAAGGUCCACGUUAAAGAUGAGAAAACUGAGGCCGUGAUGCUAUCCAACGUCACAUGGCUGCAGGAGUCAGGGGAAGUGCCAGGUUUGGAUCCCAGGCCUAGGAUUGGUGCCCCCCUCCCCCUGCCCUGCCCAAGCUCACCCUAAUUCCAGCUCUGCUGAACUCUGAAUUCAGCUCCAUGAGCCCAGCCUUGCUCCUCUGUCAGGUUCUAUGGCCUUGGGGUGUCUGCUGGGCUGCUGACACUCAAACCCCAGCUUCCUCUUCAGACUCUACCUUUCUUCUGGAUACCUCCACGCCUUGGGAUUCCCCCCAGCCUUGCCCCCAGCUCCAGUCCCCCCAAACCCAGCCCCACUGGCCAGCAACCAUCACCCCUCACCAACCCCCAAAGGACAGAUCCCUCCAAGAGAAGCUCAAAGCUAGGAUUCAAUGGCUCCUAUCACCUGUACACCAAGGCCCACUUUGUCCAGGUGGUCAAGGCCUUCUCCCAUGAGACCCAGCUAACAGAGGUAGCCUCGCCUCCCAUGACCUCCCUACAUGCUUCCAACCCUGGCACCAUGUCGCCCUGAGCCUCUGGCUUUGACCUGCCGUGGACUUUCACAGCCACCUUGAACACCUCCUUUCAGGCUUUCUUCUCUGCCAGUGGAACCCCCAUGCCCUAGAAGGAGCACUUAUUCCUGGGAAGCCUAAUGGGGCCCCCCCGGAAUGGCUUAGUUAGUGGACUAUAAGAGGUGGGACCAACAAGAGCUUAGGACUAGGCCACAUGGGUCAAGUUCUAGCCCUGCCUCAAGUCAACUAUGCCUUCUCUUUUUUUUUCCUUUUGUAAUAAAAGCUAACUAUUUCUCAGAGUUUUUUUAGACAUAAGAAAUAUGAAAUGCUAUGGUA